UCCCUGAUGGUCCAGUGGCUAGGACUUCGAGCUCCCAAUGCAGGGGAUGUAGGUUCGAUUCCUGGUCAGGGAA
rnacentral:tRNA from 1 species